CUCCUGAGGGUGCUGCUCGGAGCUAGCAGGAGCCUGGGCUGCCUCUGCAAGCUUCUGUUGGGCCAUGAUGCGUACGUAGCACUCUUGCUGCAUCCCGUGGUCAAAGCCAGUGUCUGUGGGGUGGGGAACGACUCCUCCAGGAAGGUUCUGCAAGUCUCAGGGCAACAGCGAGAGAGGCGUGAAAUUCUCAUAGGGUAGAGGGAGUGAGCGGUUCUCCAACAUAAGCCAGAUGCUAAUGAGACAUCUGAGGGAUUUUCAAGAAUCCCGUCACUGGUAUAGUUCCAGGUUAGAGCUGGCCAACGCACGAGAUUUGGAGAACGGAAAAGAGAGGCCGUUGCAGGCAGGUGACAAUGGCAAGCUUUGCAACAGUUCGGGGCAAUCUUCUUCAAAGCCCUUGCUUCUGAGCCACAGGCUGAGGCAUCGAUGGGGGCUCCCAGGAACACCAUGAGCUCCCUGGCAGCUCCCAGGCAAGCUCGAGAGAGCCGCCCACCUCGGAGCUGUGGGGCCCCUAGUCCCCUAACUGCAUUAGCUCCAGGAUGGAUGGGUGACAGCGAUGGAUGGAUGGACGGGCGGCUGGAUGGACAGAGUGGCAGGGAACUCCCAACCCCAGGCCCUGGGAGAAGGAACAGACACACGCAAAUGUGUGAAUGCAGCUCCAACACUCACUGGAAGGAGAGAUGACACUGUCUGGGGAGUCUGGGAAGGCUGGUCAGAGGAGGGAAGUAGCUCAUUCAGUCAUGGGACAUUUCAAGGUGGGAAGAAGGUGUUCAUCACACGGCUGUGAUCACGUGCCCAUAUGCAGACCACUCUGUCCUGGGUGCAUGAGGAGUUCAUCUCUUAAAUCCAUGGUUCUCAACAAGGACAGUCCUCCCUCCCCAUGGGACAUUUGGCAAUGACUGGAGGAGUUGCUACUGGCAUCUCCUGGAUGGAGGCCAGGCAGGGCUGUUGGUAAACAUCCCAGUCUAGUGCACAGGACAGCCUCCACCACAAAGAAUCAUCCAGCCCCAAAUGUCAGCAGCACCAAGGUUGAGAACUCUGUCCUAAACCCUGAAAUUUUCAUUUGAUAAGUGCAAUUAUAAUGCAAUGUCUUUUUGAUGCACCAAAGGCAUUAAUGUCUUCAAUGUGAAUAUUUAAAACACACAGGUGACCUGUUUGGUGAUUUAUUUCUUAAUAAAGCAGGAGUCUUAAAACAUGGGAGUGGUUCCAUGAAAGGCAACAGCAUGCACUGGGCUCAGUGGCUCAGUGGCAAGACAGCAAGCAUCUGUAUUCGACUGCACCUGGAACGAAGGGGAUGAUGGGAAUAGAGCCCAGAGAGGGGCAGGGGCUGCACCAGGCAGAACUCAGAUGCCAGGCGACAGAGCGUGAAUUGUAUCCUGGAGGGAGA
rnacentral:lncRNA from 1 species